rnacentral:tRNA from 1 species
GCCCGAGUGGUGGAAUUGGUAGACACGCUAGACUUAGGAUCUAGUGCCGUAAGGUGUGCAGGUUCAAGUCCUGUCUCGGGUACCA